rnacentral:rRNA from 1 species
GACGGAGGGGGCUAGCGUUGUUCGGAAUUACUGGGCGUAAAGCGUGCGCAGGCGGUUUUGUAAGUCUGUCGUGAAAUCCCCGGGCUCAACCUGGGAAUGGCGAUGGAGACUGCAAGGCUAGAAUCUGGCAGAGGGGGGUAGAAUUCCACGUGUAGCAGUGAAAUGCGUAGAGAUGUGGAGGAACACCGAUGGCGAAGGCAGCCCCCUGGGUCAAGAUUGACGCUCAUGCACGAAAGCGUGGGGAGCAAACAGG